GCACUUAACACAAUGCCUGGCAUUAGGAAACCCCAGCACAGAGCUACAAGCUACAUGUCCCUGGCCCCUCUCCCUAGGAGCACAGAGUUCCAGUGAAGAACCUAAAGCACAAACACUGACAGCUGUAAGAACAGCUACAAUGCUUCACGCGGACCAAUGCAUAUCCCAUGGCGAGGAAGACACAUAUGUGAUUCAUUUUCUUCAGGAUGAAGUUUAAGGAUUUACCUAAGGACCCAAGAAUGU
rnacentral:lncRNA from 1 species